GCAGAAUAGCUAGCCUAAUGAACAAGACCAAAAGUGAAGAAAUUAACACAAUCCCCAAAACCACCAAUUUAAAAAACUAAAGCAUUCUCCCACCUUAGUAUGGGUGACAGAAAAGGAAACCAAGAGCAAUAGAAAAAGUACCGCAAGGGAAAGCUGAAAUAGUAAUGAAAAAGCCCGUUAAAGCGAAAUAAAGCAUAGACUAAAACUUGUACCUUUUGCAUCAUGAUUUAGCCAGUAUAACCAAGCAAAGAGCCCUUAAGUUUGGACCCCCGAAACUGGCGUGAGCUACUUCAAGGCAGCCUAAAACAGGGCAAACCCGUCUCUGUGGCAAAAGAGUGGGAAGACCUUCAAGUAGAGGCGACAAACCUAACGAACCCAGUCAUAGCUGGUUGCCCAAGAAAUGAAUAUAAGUUCAGCCCUACCCCCCUCGACCUACGGAUGUUAAAACAACACUAAGCGCUGAGAAAGAAGUAGGAGCUAGUCAAAGAAGGUACAGCUUCUUUGAAAAGGACACAACCUUAAUAGAAGGCAAAGGAUCAUAUACCUCGAGGACCAAAUACUGCAGUAGGCCUAAAAGCAGCCAUCAACCCAGAAAGCGUUAAAGCUCAGGCAAUAUAGAAUCCAAUUAUUAGGACAAAUUAUCCGAACCCGCUAGAAACUUAUUGGGCCAUUCCAUGCCCCCAUGGAAGAAAUAAUGCUAAAAUGAGUAACAAGAAGAACUACCCUUCUCCCCGCACAUGUGUAUGUUAGACUGGACAAACCACUAACAAAUGACGGACUCAAUACAAGAGAGAACAAGGAAUUAAAUAAAGACCAGGAAAACCCCCUUGAUAAUAACCGUUGACCCCACACAGGAGUGCCCUAUGGGAAAGACAAAAAGGAGAAGAAGGAACUCGGCAAACACCACAAGCCUCGCCUGUUUACCAAAAACAUCGCCUCCUGUCACAACAAAAUAUAGGAGGUCCCGCCUGCCCAGUGACUAAAAGUUUAACGGCCGCGGUAUCCUGACCGUGCAAAGGUAGCGCAAUCACUUGUCCCUUAAAUAGGGACCUGUAUGAAUGGCAUCACGAGGGCUUAACUGUCUCCUCCUCCAAGUCAGUGAAAUUGAUCUGCCCGUGAAGAAGCGGGCAUAAAAAUGUAAGACGAGAAGACCCUAUGGAGCUUAAGACACAAGGGCCACCCAAGUUCAACCACCCCUAUUAAGAGGCCAAACAAAAUGGAAACUGACUACUUGUCUUCGGUUGGGGCGACCGCGGGGAAAAACGAAACCCCCACGUGGAAUAGGAGAAAUCCUAAGCCGAGAUAAAACAUAUCUAAGCCAUAAAACGUUUAACCACCAAUGACCCGGCCCCCGGGCCGAUCAACGAACCAAGUUACCCUAGGGAUAACAGCGCAAUCCUCUUCUAGAGUCCAUAUCGACAAGAGGGUUUACGACCUCGAUGUUGGAUCAGGACAUCCUAAUGGUGCAGCCGCUAUUAAGGGUUCGUUUGUUCAACGAUUAAAGUCCUACGUGAUCUGAGUUCAGACCGGAGCAAUCCAGGUCAGUUUCUAUCUACAAUAGUACUUUUUCCCAGUACGAAAGGAUCGGAAAAAGAAGGCCCAUGCUAAGAGCACGCCUUAGACCCACCUGAUGAACACAACUAAAUUAGAUAAGGGGACACAACAAGUACCAGCCGAGAUCAAGGCUU
rnacentral:rRNA from 1 species